AUGGGCAAAGGAGAUCCUAAGAAGCUGAGAGGCAAAAUGUCAUCAUAGGCAUUUUUUGUGCAAACUUGUCGGGAAGAGCAUAAGAAGCAGCACCCAGAUGCUUCAGUCAACUUCUCAGAGUUUUCUAAGUGCUCAGAGAGGUGGAAGACCAUAUCUGCUAAAGAGAAAGGAAAAUUUGAAGAUAUGGCAAAGGUGGACAAGGCCCGUUAUGAAAGAGAAAUGAAAACCUAUAUCCCUCCCAAAGGGGAGACAAAACAGAAGUUCAAGGAUCCCAAUGCACCUAAGAGGCCUCCUUCAGCCUUCUUCCUGUUCUGCUCUGAGUAUUGCCCAAAAAUCAAAGGAGAACAUCCUGGCCUGUCCAUUGGUGAUGUUGCAAAGACUCUGGGAGAGAUGUGGAAUAACACUGCUGCAGAUGACAAGCAGUCUUAUGAAAAGAAGGCUGCAAAGCUGAAGGAAAAAUACGAAAAGGAUAUUGCUGCAUAUCGAGCUAAAGGAAAGCCUGAUGCAGCAAAAUAGAGAGUUGUCAAGGCUGAAAAAAGCAAGAAAAAGAAGGAAGAGGAGGAAGAUUAGGAAGAUGAAGAGGAUGAGGAGGAGGAGAAGGUGAAGAAGAUGAAGAUGAAGAAGAUGAUGAUGAUGAAUAAGUUGGUUCUAGCGCAGUUUCUUUCUUGUCUAUAAAGCAUUUAACCCCCCUGUACACAACUCACCCCUUUUAAAGAAAAAAAUUGAAACGUAAGGCUGUGUAAGGUUUGUUUUUAAACUGUACAGUGUCUUUUUUUGUAUAGUUAACACACUACCAAAUGUGUCUUUAGAUAGCCCUGUCCUGGUGGUAUUUUCAAUAGCCACUAACCUUGCCUGGUACAUUAUGGGGGUUGUACAUUGGCAUGGAAAUUUAAAGCAGGUUCUUGUUGGUGCACAGCACAAAUUAGUUAUAUAUGGGGAUGGUAGUUUUUUCAUCUUCGGUUGUCUCUGACGCAGCUCAUGCGAAAUAAUUGUUCUGUUAACUGAAUACCACUCUGUAAUUGCAAAAAAAAAAAAAAAAAGUUGCAGCUGUUUAGUUGACAUUCUGAAUGCUUCUAAGUAAAUACAAUUAUUUUUAUUAGUAUUGUUGUGCUUUUCAUAGGUCUAAAAUUUUUCUUCUUGAGGGGAAGCUAGUGUUUUGCUUUUGCCCAUUUUGAAUCAUAUGAA